CUCUGUCUCCCGCGAAAAUCCAACGGAGCAUCUAUUUUGCUUUCACGGGCUCACACUCGAUCUCAGCCUGUCUGUAACUGGAUAUACUGCAUUGCUCCUAGGGCUCUUAGCUUUUCCAAGAUUAAAGUUGAUUUCGGGUCGGAUCUACCGGACUCCGCUUGAGGAAAAUGAAGCGCAAGGGCGAGCUGAGUUCCAUCUCUAAACUGCUUAAGUAUGUCCUUGUAGGUCUCAUUGCGCUUCUCGGGUUGGCUUGUUUGUUCUACGGGUCGUCCGUAGCUCCGGGCUCGCGUAGAUCUGACGACGAAGCUCACGGCUUCGACGGAAACGACCCCGUUAUCGGCGGCUUCGUUCGGAAUCACGAUCCCGAAGAUUUGCUUGAGGACCAAGAGCACAAUCCUGAGGUCCCCAAAAGCAUUCCUAUCUGUGAUUUGAGAUUCUCGGAGUUGAUACCAUGUUUAGAUAGAAACCUUAUCUACCAACUGAAAUGGAAGCCCAAUUUGAUGUUAAUGGAGCACUAUGAACGUCACUGCCCACCUCAGGAGCGCCGAUAUAAUUGCCUGGUUCCACCGCCAGUUGGUUAUAAGGUCCCUAUAAGAUGGCCGGCAAGUAGGGAUGAAGUGUGGAAGGCAAAUAUACCCCACACACAUCUUGCACAAGAGAAAUCGGACCAGAAUUGGAUGAUUGUUAAUGGGGAUAAGAUAAAUUUUCCUGGUGGAGGUACCCAUUUCCAUUAUGGAGCUGACAAGUACAUCAUUUCCCUUGCUAAGAUGCUGAAGUUUCCGGGUGAUAAACUCCACAACGGUGGAAAUAUACGAAAUGUUUUUGAUGUGGGUUGUGGUGUUGCAAGUUUUGGAGCCUAUCUUCUUCCCCUCGACAUCAUAGCUAUGUCCCUUGCACCUAAUGAUGUACAUGAGAAUCAAAUACAAUUUGCACUAGAGAGGGGCAUUCCAGCAACUCUUGGUGUAUUGGCUACCAAAAGACUUCCUUAUCCUAGCAGAUCAUUUGAACUGGCUCAUUGUUCACGUUGUCGAAUUGAUUGGCUUCAAAGAGAUGGAAUUCUCUUAUUAGAACUCGACAGAUUACUAAGACCCGGAGGGUACUUCGUAUAUUCUUCUCCUGAAGCUUAUGCGCGUGAUCCAGAAAAUCGAAGGAUCUGGAAUGAUAUGUACAAUCUUCUAAAAAGAAUGUGCUGGAGAGUUGUUGCAAAGCAAGGCCAGACUGUUAUAUGGGCAAAGCCACUGACAAAUAGCUGUUACUUGAAGAGAGAACCUCAGACAUUGCCCGUUUUGUGCAGUUCUGAUGAUGAUCCUGAUGCAACUUGGAAUGUGUCCAUGAAGGCGUGCAUCUCCCCCUACUCUGCAAAGAUGCACAAACAGAAGGGGAGUGGGCUAGUUCCUUGGCCACAGAGGCUUACUGCAGCACCCCCUCGCCUGGAAGAAAUAGGUGUGAGCAGGGAGGAAUUCCAAGAGGACAUCAGCAUUUGGCGUUUUAGAGUUAUUGAAUACUGGAAGCAGAUGAAAUCUGCCACACAGAAGGAUUCCAUCAGAAAUGUUAUGGAUAUGAACUCAAAUCUUGGUGGGUUUGCUGCUGCCCUUGGUGACAAAGAUGUGUGGGUGAUGAAUGUUGCCCCUGUCAGUGCAUCUGCCAGAUUAAAGAUUAUAUAUGAUCGAGGCUUAAUUGGAACUGUUCAUGACUGGUGUGAAGCAUUUUCUACAUAUCCACGUACAUAUGAUCUUCUGCAUGCCUGGACGGUGUUUUCAGAGAUUGAUAAACAUGGGUGUAGUGCAGAGGAUCUACUGAUUGAAAUGGAUCGAAUGCUACGACCAGAUGGGAUUGUCAUCAUUAGAGACAAACCUUCUGUCAUAAACUAUAUUCGGAAGUUUGUGACUGCCUUAAGGUGGGAUGGCUGGGUAUCAGAAGUAGAACCGAGGAUUGAUGCACUCUCCUUGAGCGAAGAAAGAGUUUUGAUUGCAAAAAAGAAGUUGUGGGAUGAGGCAAUUAUAACGAUAUGAAUCUGUUUCUGGUCAGUCAGAUGAAGAAAGACUGCGGGAAAUAUUAUAUAGGCAUGCGAGCUGCACUUCUGGGACUCUCUUCAGUCUCAGCCACCAUGGAAAACGAAGUAUGAGGUGACAAGAGUCAGGAAGCUGAUUUCAGUCGCUACUUGGGACCAAGAUUUGAAUUUCCCAAUGUCUACAAGUAUGCGACAGACGGAUAGAAUCCUUCUCUGUGGAAUGAGUAACUAUGCAGAAAUACAGUGAACGCUGAUAACCAUUACCAUUCAUGACAAGUACAGACAUACAUUCAUAAGUAGAUUGUUUUUGUAUUCAUUGGCAUGUUAUUUAAAAAAAAAAAAAAAUUAAAUUAACGCAUAAUUAAUCUGAAAAUUGUUACCUAA